rnacentral:rRNA from 1 species
GACGAACGCUGGCGGCGUGCUUAACACAUGCAAGUCGAACGGUAAGGCCCCAGCUUGCUGGGGUACACGAGUCGCGAACGGGUGAGUAACACGUGGGUGACCUGCCCCGCACUUCGGGAUAAGCCUGGGAAACUGGGUCUAAUACCGGAUACGACCGCACCGAGAGGGUGUGGUGGAAAGAUUUUCGGUGUGGGAUGGGCCCGCGGCCUAUCAGCUUGUUGGUGGGGUAAUGGCCUACCAAGGCGGCGACGGGUAGCCGGCCUGAGAGGGUGGACGGCCACAUUGGGACUGAGACACGGCCCAGACUCCUACGGGAGGCAGAAGUGGGAAAUAUUGCAUAAUGGGCGGAAGCCUGAUGCAGCGACGCCGCGUGGGGGAUGACGGCCAUCGGGUUGUAAACUCCUUUCACCAUCGACGAAGGGAUUCUGACGGUAGAUGGAGAAGAAGCACCGGCUAACUACGUG